rnacentral:rRNA from 1 species
GAACGAACGCUAGCGGCGUGCCUAACACAUGCAAGUCGAACGAGAAACUUCCCGCUUGCGGGAGGGAGUAAAGUGGCGCACGGGUGAGUAACGCGUGGGUAACCUGCCCUCGAAUCUGGGAUAACUCUGCGAAAGCGGUGCUAAUACCGGAUAUGGUUUCGAAGACUUCGGUUUUCGGGAUUAAAGGUGACCUCUUCAUGAAAGUUGCCGUUCAAGGAUGGGCCCGCGUACCAUUAGCUUGUUGGUAGGGUAAUGGCCUACCAAGGCUACGAUGGUUAGCUGGUCUGAGAGGAUGAUCAGCCACACUGGAACUGAAACACGGUCCAGACUCCUACGGGAGGCAGCAGUGAGGAGUUUUGCGCAAUGGGGGAAACCCUGACGCAGCAACGCCGCGUGAGCGAAGAAGGCCUUUGGGUCGUAAAGCUCUGUCAAGUGGGAAAAACGUCUACCGGUCAAUAGCCGGCAGAUCUGAUGGUACCAUUGAAGGAAGCACCGGCUAACUCCGUGCCAGCAGCCGCGGUAAUACGGAGGGUGCAAGCGUUGUUCGGAAUUAUUGGGCGUAAAGAGCGUGUAGGCGGUUUAGUAAGUCAGAUGUGAAAGCCCUGGGCUCAACCCGGGAAGUGCAUUUGAAACUGCUUUACUUGAGUAUGG